AUCUUUUAUAAACAUUUUAUCUGUUUAUUUUAGUCUAUAUUCUCCUCUCCUUCUCUCUCUCUUUUCUUCUUCGUGUCUCUUUCAUCUCCUCCAUUUAUUUUCUGUUGAAUUCUUGACUGGUUAAAAAUGGAACUUGAGUAUGCUUAACUUUUCAGUAGAAGAAUGAAUAAAUCAAAGUUUUGUCAGUAAAGAAGAGACUUCAUACCCAAGUGACAUGGAGAUGGUCUUCACAUACUCUGUUUUUAUCGAAGGACAUCACUCGUACUUUGACAUUGAUGAGUCUUCUGGUGGAGUGAAUGGUACUGAUAAUUGCAGGUGGAAUUAGGAACAAUGGAACAAGUACACGCAAGACUUGUCACUGCCUCACCAUGCCAACAAGCAGUGCAGGUCAGUUUGCCAUUGGUUCUGACCUGUGGUCUUGUUUUCUUCUUGUUUAGCACAUGUAUAUUGUAUUGUUGUAGUUACGUUGAAAGUGUAUUCACAAGUCUUUGUUCUUCC